GACGUAGGGCACGAGCGUUGUCCGGAUUUAUUGGGCGUAAAGAGCUCGUAGGCGGCUUGUCGCGUCGACUGUGAAAACCCGCGGCUCAACUGGGGAGGGUCACGCGAUACUGAUCGACUCGAAGGCAGGAGAGGGUAGUGGAAUUCCCGGUGUAGUGGUGAAAUGCGUAGAUAUCGGGAGGAACACCAGUGGCGAAGGCGACUACCUGGCCUGUUUCUUGACGCUGAGGCGCGAAAGCUAGGGGAGCAAACGGG
rnacentral:rRNA from 1 species